CUUUGAGUAACUUUUUAGAGUUUUUACAGCCUCCUGUAUGUGAUUAAAGUUCAAUUUACAGAGCAAGAGAUACAAUUGUUUAAGGUAAAUUACAUCUGAUUGAAAGUUAAACCAGUUUUUUCAUGCAUGAAACAAAAAUGUGGCAAGGGCUGCAUAAACAGAAACAAAGUGAUUUAACUUCUAAAUGGCAGUGAAUUCUGAGAGGCAUGAUCAAUACCAGUGAUGGUGA